UCGAUGAGGCAUGUAACACUGCAGCCAAAAGGAUGGUACAGAUUGGAAAACAAGAAAAUCACAUCACACUGUGCUAACUGCCUCUCCAAAUGCAGUGAACAAAGCAAUUGUUAGCCCGGAUGAAUUUGCCGGGCAUUCUCUUCCUAUUGACAGUGUGAUGUGAUUUUCACACAUGUCCCAUUGUUGUGAUUUGAAGGGUGUGAGCAGAUGUAAUGGAAUUCCUGUCUCCACGCUUGAUCAAGGGGAGAAGGAUAAGUUGAUCCACCUUGCGGCCAGGUUUCAUGAGCGAGAUGUUGGCCAAGCUAAAGCUGUUUAUAAGAGCGUUCUAGGACUGGCCUAGAUCAGCUUGGCAAACCAGUAGGAUCAUAACUCUUUUUGGGCUCGACUCAUAUUGGAAAAAUAGAGAUAGCAAAAGCUCUUGCCGAAUAGCUAUUUUAUAGUGGGAAGAUGUUGAUGCGCAUUGAAACGUCCGAAUACAUUGUGGCUGGAUCUGUGGCGUCUAACUGGAGCCUCUCUAGGGUUUGUCUUCUCUAUUUAAACACCACUACAGUACCAUAUCAUUCGAAGUCUUCAAUUAGUCUGUCUGAUCUUAAUGUUUCUCUUGUAUUGGAAGUUUGGAACAUGUUAAAGCUCAUAUGACCAUCAAGGUGGUGGAGAAGGUGCGGAUCAUCCCAUAUAGUGUCAUCUGUCUCAAUGAGGUGGAGAAGGCAGAUCCCUUGGUGUUGAAUAUUUUUCUCCAGAUCCUUGAUGGUGGUAUGUUGACCGAUUGCAAAGGGCGGGUAGUAGAUUGCAGGAAUACCAUUAUCAACAUGACCUCAAAUCUGGGGUCAGGGCACCUUCUAGCAGGAAUACGCGGAGAAAAUACAAUGCAAACUGCACGGAACCUUGUCAUGAAUCAGGUUCAGAAACAGUUGAAGGCCGAGCUUGUGAACAGACUGGGUGCGGUCAUUGUAUUUGAGCCGCUUUCUCUAGUGAAAGAGAUCAUGGCAAUCCAGAUGAAGAUCGUUGUUGUCAGGGUAGCUGCCAAGAGAAUCAUGCAUUUAUGGAUAGAAAUCUAUCUCGCUCAACUAAAAUUCGUUGUGUGCAUAGGCAGUACAUCUGUAGGAAAUUGAUCUGCUAUUUUUUUUUGAAUAGUUUGCUGCUUAUUAUGCAUAGAGAGUGUAGGGUUUUUCUUAUGCAUUAUAUGGUUCAGAGCAUAUAGGAUUAUUUCCGCCAAUGCAUAAAUUUUUAUAUAGGCAAAUGAUUUGGACGGUGAUAGUGCUUGGAAUCUUCUGUUUUGUUUCGUCAUGCUACUUACUAGUCAGUCUAUUUCUGUUUGCAUAAAGGUUUGCUUAAUAACGUAUUGCAGGUCUCCGUGGCUGCAGCUCCUGGUGCCUGCUUGGUGUGUACUGAAAUCUGGGGUUUCUGCCUCAAUGUCAUUCUGACUGCCAUCACGGCUUCCCCAAUGAAGCUCCAGCUGCUCGGUGCUCUUUGGCGAUAGGAAGGAAUCUGGAAGCUCAACAAGGGCACAAUGAGAGUGAGAAAGAUGCCGCUUUGCCGGUCUGGAGAAGUUGAAGAAGGACUACAGAGAGCUUGGCAGCGCCACCGUGGACCUCAUUCUGCAGUGCCGACCUCCUUGAGCUAUCUGCUGCCGGGUUCAACCCGAAGCAAUAGAUGGAGUCUUCCGGUAUAAGGACGAGGGGACAAGCAGGAUGACCUGCUGUUGCUCUCAUCUGCUGGUAACUACAAUGCUAGGGACCAGCUGUUGUUGAUUGACCCGCUUCCACGACAAGGAGGAUCAAACGCAUGAACAUGAAAGUCAGGGUGACGUGUUGUUUCUGAAUGAUGGCGAUCAGUACUUGCACCUGGAACUAAUGGAACCAGAAGAGGCUGGUUAUCUCCUCCUGUGAUGCUUAAGAGUCUACUGAAGCUAGAAAGCGAAACUUAGGUUAUGGACGAGCUGAGCUUCUUCAUCCCGUGGUAGUCGCUGGGGCUGUACAUGGAGCGGCAGUUGACUGCCGUGGCAUUUGAGAAGAGGAGAUUAGGCAGCAUGACACUAAUGCAGCAGCAGCACAGAAGAAGUGGAGCUGGAGCUGGCCUCUUCUUCGAGUUAACGAUUUAGGCAGGUAUCUGCUUCUGGCUCACUGAUAUGUCUAGGCUGACUGGCUCACUGGUAUACCUUGUAUUGAUUGUUGUGUUCAAUGACAUUAUUUAGGCUUAUUAUGGUACCUACUGGCUCUAGUGUUGGUGUCUAUAAUAAGUAUUAGGUUUUGUGAUCUGCGGUUGCUGGUUAUAGAAACACUCUUUUUU